GCCCGUUUUCCACUUCACCAUUUCGCUCGCCGCCCCGCGCUCGAUUACAUUAAAACAACAUUUCCAGUUCACCUUUUAUACAAUAGUACUCUGAUUUUCCAUAUUUAACAUACAAGCCUCUAGUCCUGGGCUAGGGUACAUUUUGAUUUACGUCGGACAAAGCUACAGUUCGGUCAGACACCAAUACACUCGGGUCGGACAAACAAAAACCCUCAGUUUCACUUUGGUCGGACAGAAUGUCCGGUGGUUUCCUCUCUACGUCGGACAAUUUCACGAAUGGGUCGGACAAUGUCCGUGACCGACCGAUAUUUUAAGGUCUGCGUGAAAUAAAAUAACGAGGAAAUUUAACAAGGAAUAUUAAGUUAACGCAAAUAGUGUAAUUUCCAAGUUAACCAGAUAAUUUUAACCAGAUUAUUUUUA